GCAUUAGCUAGUUGGUAAGGUAACGGCUUACCAAGGCAACGAUGCAUAGCCGACCUGAGAGGGUGAUCGGCCACACUGGAACUGAGACACGGUCCAGACUCCUACGGGAGGCAGCAGUAGGGAACCUUCCGCAAUGGGCGAAAGCCUGACGGAGCAACGCCGCGUGAGUGAUGAAGGUCUUCGGAUCGUAAAACUCUGUUAUUAGGGAAGAACAUAUGUGUAAGUAACUGUGCACAUCUUGACGGUACCUAAUCAGAAAGCCACGGCUAACUACGUGCCAGCAGCCGCGGUAAUACGUAGGUGGCAAGCGUUAUCCGGAAUUAUUGGGCGUAAAGCGCGCGUAGGCGGUUUUUUAAGUCUGAUGUGAAAGCCCACGGCUCAACCGUGGAGGGUCAUUGGAAACUGGAAAACUUGAGUGCAGAAGAGGAAAGUGGAAUUCCAUGUGUAGCGGUGAAAUGCGCAGAGAUAUGGAGGAACACCAGUGGCGAAGGCGACUUUCUGGUCUGUAACUGACGCUGAUGUGCGAAAGCGUGGGGAUCAAACAGGAUUAGAUACCCUGGUAGUCCACGCCGUAAACGAUGAGUGCUAAGUGUUAGGG
rnacentral:rRNA from 1 species